GGAACAGUUGCCGAGUCGACUCCGGAAAAGCUUGAGUCGACUCCCGCUACAGCCGAGUCGACUCCUGAUCGCGCGAGUCGACUCUAACCCACCAACGGACACAUUGUCAGGCUGCGCAGAGUGUGCAGAACGGGCAGAAAAAGCUCUCUAACGGCUAGUUUCCGUGGGGGUUGGUUUAAAUAGCCACAGAAGACUGUAGCAAGGUAGAGAAGAACCAUUCCACUCCAACUAAUCAAGCAUUCAAGCUCUGCAACGUGUUCUUCAACGAAAAAGAGGAAGAUCUGCAUUUACUGCAUCCACCUACAUCUUCCCAGCAAUUAAA
rnacentral:lncRNA from 1 species